AUUUAACGGCUGCGGAAUGCUUUACACAUGCAAGUCGAACGGUAGAGGGGGCAACCCCUUGAGAGUGGCGAACGGGUGAGUAAUAUAUCGGAACGUGCCCAGUCGUGGGGGAUAACGUAGUGAAAAUUACGCUAAUACCGCAUACGAUCUAAGGAUGAAAGCGGGGGAUCGCAAGACCUCGCGCGACUGGAGCGGCCGAUAUCAGAUUAGGUAGUUGGUAGGGUAAAGGCCUACCAAGCCAACGAUCUGUAGCUGGUCUGAGAGGACGACCAGCCACACUGGAACUGAGACACGGUCCAGACUCCUACGGGAGGCAGCAGUGGGGAAUUUUGGACAAUGGGCGAAAGCCUGAUCCAGCCAUUCCGCGUGCAGGAUGAAGGCCCUCGGGUUGUAAACUGCUUUUGUACAGAACGAAAAGGUCUCUAUUAAUACUAGGGGCUCAUGACGGUACUGUAAGAAUAAGCACCGGCUAACUACGUGCCAGCAGCCGCGGUAAUACGUAGGGUGCAAGCGUUAAUCGGAAUUACUGGGCGUAAAGCGUGCGCAGGCGGUUAUAUAAGUCAGAUGUGAAAUCCCCGGGCUCAACCUGGGAACUGCAUUUGAGACUGUAUAGCUAGAGUACGGUAGAGGGGGAUGGAAUUCCGCGUGUAGCAGUGAAAUGCGUAGAUAUGCGGAGGAACACCGAUGGCGAAGGCAAUCCCCUGGACCUGUAC
rnacentral:rRNA from 1 species